GAUGAACGCUGGCGGCGUGCCUAAUACAUGCAAGUCGAGCGAACAGACGAGGAGCUUGCUCCUUUGACGUUAGCGGCGGACGGGUGAGUAACACGUGGGUAACCUACCUAUAAGACUGGGAUAACUUCGGGAAACCGGAGCUAAUACCGGAUAAUAUUUCGAACCGCAUGGUUCGAUAGUGAAAGAUGGCUUUGCUAUUACUUAUAGAUGGACCUGCGCCGUAUUAACUAGUUGGUAAGGUAACGGCUUACCAAGGCAACGAUACGUAGCCGACCUGAGAGGGUGAUCGGCCACACUGGAACUGAGACACGGUCCAGACUCCUACGGGAGGCAGCAGUAGGGAAUCUUCCGCAAUGGGCGAAAGCCUGACGGAGCAACGCCGCGUGAGUGAUGAAGGUCUUCGGAUCGUAAAACUCUGUUAUUAGGGAAGAACAAACGUGUAAGUAACUGUGCACGUCUUGACGGUACCUAAUCAGAAAGCCACGGCUAACUACGUGCCAGCAGCCGCAGUAA
rnacentral:rRNA from 1 species